rnacentral:lncRNA from 1 species
CACAGGCCAACUCUAAGGCAGGCUGCAAACAGAGACAGGCAGCACAGCUGUCAAGAGGAAAUCCUCUCCUCCCUCCCUCUCUCUCUACACGGCAGGACUGCAUCAGAGCUUCCUCACUCAUUAGUCUACCUGAACCUGUCGGAUUCACCUGCCUCGGAUGAGGACUAAUAACUAGCUAGAGGAGUAUUAUUCAUUUGCAUGGUCAUUCAGCACAGCAGCCUAGUUCAUGGAGGAGACAAUGAGCAGCGAAAGAAAUCAAAGCAGCUGUGUAGUUCUGAGGACAGUACAGCCAACAUAUUUUUCUCAAAUCAAUCACAACAUGCGUUGACAGCGUGAGCUGGGCCCUGGCAACUACGGUCCUCAUCCUGUUCUCCUAUGUUAAUAUGGAGGACAGGAGAGAUGGUUUGUCAAGGAGUCCCCGGACUAAAAGACAGGCUGAUACAGCUGGAGGACAGGAGAGAUGGUUUGUCAAGGAGUCCCCUGACUAAAAGACAGGCUGAUACAGAUGUCUGAACUGAGAGAGACCUUGCACUGAGCUUUAAAAUUAUACAAGACACAUAUAUUACUUUUCGUCGUCUUUUUGUUAUUAUUGAAUGGUAGGGGGGCGGGGACUGUCUUAUAUGGGACACCAUAUGAAGGGAUGACGACUAACAUGUACCCUCAGACAAAAUGCUGAUAGCUACAGUAUCUAUAUCGGAUGUGAAUGACAAUAGAAGAUGAAAGACAAGUGUCAUAUUUGCACAUUGUUAUAUUAGCAGAACACUGCUUCUACAGUAUUAUGUGAAGGAUGGUUUAUUCUACUUGGAACUUACACUUGAAAGUUAUCAGAACACUUUGUUUGGAAUAUCAGCACAAGUUCAGCAAUUGCACUCUUCUCAUACUGCUCUGUAGGCUACUGACCAAUUCAAAGCUUCCUCCUGGAGGACAUAUCCAGGAUGGAGUGUCAUGCACUCCACCCCUCCUGCCACCUGACUGCAUCUGUCCAUAACCUGUAAUACAUGACAUAGAUGGAAGGGACUUCAUCAGCCACUGGAGACUGUAAGACAGAACCUCACCCUGAGAGCUGUGCAUGUCAGUGUGUAGUUAGACAGCCAAACCCUUAGAAUAGACCUUAGAAAUAGAAUAUAAUGCCAUGAUAGUUCUGGCACAGCUGAAGUUGUACCAAAGAUGUUUGUGCUCCUUGUUCUAUCUGGGCUUAUUUUCAUUUGCUAGGUGAAGUGUAGGCAUACUGUCUUUAUAAGCACAUCAAUAUAAUAGCCUAUUUACAGUAGAAAAUGUUUUGUCUUUGUAACACAAACACACUCAUGGAUUUCUGUUGUUGUUGAUAAAUGUAUCUGCACAUAACCCUGAUAAGUCAGAAUUGUAAUAAUUAUUUUUUGCAAAAAGAGUGCACUGGGC